rnacentral:rRNA from 1 species
GCUUACGGCCAUACCACCUUAGGCACGCCCGAUCUCGUCUGAUAUCGGAAGCUAAGCAGGGUCGGGCCUGGUUAGUACUUGGAUGGAUGACCGCCUGGGAAUACCUGGUGCUGUAAGCA